rnacentral:rRNA from 1 species
GAUGAACGCUGGCGGCGUGCCUAAUACAUGCAAGUCGAGCGAACGGACGAGGAGCUUGCUCCUCUGAUGUUAGCGGCGGACGGGUGAGUAACACGUGGAUAACCUACCUAUAAGACUGGGAUAACUUCGGGAAACCGGAGCUAAUACCGGAUAAUAUAUUGAACCGCAUGGUUCAAUAGUGAAAGACGGUUUUGCUGUCACUUAUAGAUGGAUCCGCGCCGCAUUAGCUAGUUGGUAAGGUAACGGCUUACCAAGGCGACGAUGCGUAGCCGACCUGAGAGGGUGAUCGGCCACACUGGAACUGAGACACGGUCCAGACUCCUACGGGAGGCAGCAGUAGGGAAUCUUCCGCAAUGGGCGAAAGCCUGACGGAGCAACGCCGCGUGAGUGAUGAAGGUCUUCGGAUCGUAAAACUCUGUUAUUAGGGAAGAACAGAUGUGUAAGUAACUAUGCACGUCUUGACGGUACCUAAUCAGAAAGCCACGGCUAACUACGUG